GCACCUAUAGCUCAGCUGGAUAGAGCGGUGGACUUCGAAUCCAAUUGUCGCAGGUUCAAAUCCUGUUAGGUGUACCA
rnacentral:tRNA from 1 species